ensembl:lncRNA
GUUACAGUAGACCAUAUUACAGGGGUUAGUAACAUGGUCAGGGGGACUAGGGUUAGUAACAUGGUCAGGGGGACUAGGGUUGUUACAGUAGAUCAUAUUACAGGGGUUAGUAACAUGGUCAGGGGGACUAGGGUUAGUAACAUGGUCAGGGGGACGAGGGGUGUUACAGUAGACUAUUACAGGGGUUAGUAACAUGGUCAGGGGGACUAGGGUUAGUAACAUGGUCAGGGGGACUGGGGGUGUUACAGUAGACCAUAUUACAGGGGUUAGUAAGAUGUUCAGGGGUACUAGGGUUAGUAACAUGGUCAGGGGGACUAGGGG